rnacentral:rRNA from 1 species
UACGGAGGGUGCGAGCGUUGUCCGGAAUCACUGGGCGUAAAGGGCGCGUAGGUGGCGACCCAAGUCAACGGUGAAAGCUCGACGCUCAACGUCGAGUCGGCCGUCGAUACUGGGUUGCUCGAGCACUGUAGAGGCAGAUGGAAUUCCGGGUGUAGCGGUGGAAUGCGUAGAGAUCCGGAAGAACACCGGUGGCGAAGGCGGUCUGCUGGGCAGUAGCUGACACUGAGGCGCGACAGCGUGGGGAGCAAACCGG